AGGCAGCUUGUCACGGGGACAGGAAGGUCCCAGCAGACAUUCAACCACGACGCAAUGUGUAUGCAAGUUUUGAGACUAAAACAAGACCAAACAAUAGUGGUUGGAGGUGUCUGUGUGCUGCACCACGGCCAGGAAAGCCAGGGACUCUGUCACAUGGCUGGUGGGAGCAGUGUGGGAGCAGGGGACAGAGAACACCCGGGCCGCUGUGCCGGAAGUGGUUAACAUCAAGACUUAAACCUAGUGAUAUUUGACAGGUGAAACUUAUUGCUUUGGCUCAUGAUGGAGGUUUCAGUCCACAGUGAUGAGGAAGACAGUUUAACAGCUCUGUUCCUCGUGGUGCUGGCCUGGAGGCAGGAGGACGGCAGGAGAAGGAAGGUGGCUGGUGCAGACCCCAGGAAGGAAGCAGCUACCCACGUCCUGUGUCUGCUCAGGGAUAAGGUGGGGAGCCAGAUCGUUCUGUCACCAAGUGGUCGAGCAUGCGGUGCAUGAGGCAUUACGAUGGCCCCCUGUGCAGUCCCCGUCCCUGCCCUGUGUCUGCCAUAAGGGGAUUGUCACUCUGAGUCAUGAUGACUUUUGAAUCCAGACUUUGUCCCUGUGCUUGCUGCUUCUCCUCCCUGUAAACCCUUCUAGUGCUUGCUUAGUUGUCCCGUGUUUCCCAAGGAUCCCCUGUAUCACUCAUCUGGGCUUCCCAGCACUAGCUGGUACGGACAGUGCCUAAGACAGGACACCAUGCAGUCCUGGAAGUGUCUGUGUCCAUUCCAAAUUUCACCUGGCUGGCAGCCCAUUCCUACGGCAUAGGCUGGUGGAGCAGCCCAGCGGUCCUCAGAAACAGGGGACGUUGUUGUUCAUUUCCGAUUGUUGCUGUAGCCUUCUCGCUCCAAUGUCACCUUAGGAUUCUUCAGUCUGCCACACUGUCACAGGGUUGUGUUCCUUUCAGUUCUAGGGGCCAGAGUAUUUCUCUGCUUUUUCUGACUUCUAGAAACUUCUGGCAUCACUGGUCCUGUGACCUCCUUUCAUCCUGGGGUCCAGGCAUCACUGACUGAGCCUGGCUUUGUAUCAUGCCAAUCUCUUCUCCCUGCUUCCUUCUUCAGCAGACCCUUUCAUUUCUGUCUGCUGCAUUAGAGACCCCCGCCUUGGAUUUACCCAGUUGUAGUUGGUUAGGCUGCUGCAAUAGACCCACAGCCAGGGAGCACCAUGCAUCAAAGACUCAGGGCUUAGCCGAAGUUCUCUCGGUUCUAGAGUAGUCCAGACCGGGGUACCCACAAGGUGCAUCCUCCAAACAAACUGCCUUCUCCUAUUAUCCUCUCCCCAUAAGGACUGUAAUCCUACUUAGAUUGUGCCUCAAUCACUUUUGACUGAGUUCUAGAGUGUGAGGGGUUGGCUACCAUGUUCUGAUUAUUUCCCAAAGUUCUUGGUGCCUAAGACUAUCGAUC